UUUAUUAAACACCCUUAAAUUCUCAGAAAUCCUUUUUUUUUUUCUUUGCAAAUUCAAGGACAUCGAGCUCUCUCCCUGCAUCUACAGUUGUACAAUUUAAAGUGAAUGCUUUCUGUCUCUUCAAAUAGUAGCAAAAGUUAAUAGAAAUAAAGUGGAUUCCAUCAGCAAGCUAAGAUAUAAAUCUUGAAUGACUGAGAACUUUGGGAACUGGUUGGAAUAAUGGAUUGAAUGUCAUCUGUGUAUGCAAAGUCGUCAGAAUCUGUCAAUCUUCAGGAAAGCUUUGAGUAUGGAAGAAUGGAGAACCAGUAGAGGCCUUUUGUCACAUUGCCUGAGCAUGGAGGAUUUCAUAGGCUGGGACAUUCAGGGUGGGCAGCUUUUGCAAUGGAAUUUGGAAGCAAUUUAUGUGAUGGAACUGGCAAGAUAAACACCUGAGAUGACAUGGAGACACUGGGGAGCUUUGAAGAGUAUCUCCUGACUACUGGAUUUAAACACUGAAAAAGAAAAGGGAGCUGGGACAUCUGAAG
rnacentral:lncRNA from 1 species